ACUCACAUCGUCUGCGGAGAGCGUGAUCACACAGUUGUCCGGAACAGCUGGUGCUCUCAUGCAUGUUUCAGUGUUAUUUGCCUCGAAGCGAGCAUAGAAGUGGUUUAGCUCGUCUGGGAGGCUUGUGUCACUGGGAAGCUCUCGGCUGUGCUUCCCCUUUAUAGUAUUAAUGGUUUGCCUCAUCUGACGAGCGUCAGAGCCGACGAUUCCAUCUUAGUUCUGUAUUGACGCUUUGCCUGUUUGAUGGUUCGUCGGAGGGCAUAGCAGGAUUUCUUAGAAGCGUCCGAGUCCCACUCCGUGAAAGCAGCAGCUCAACCCUUUAGCUCAGUGCAGAUGUUGCCUGUAAUCCAUGGCUUCUGGUUGGGGUAUGUACGUACAGUCACUGUGGGGACGACGUCCUCCAUGCACUUAUUGAUAAAGCCAGUGACUGAUGUGGUGUACUCCUCAAUGCCAUUGGAGGAAUCCCAGAGCAUAUUCCCGUCUGUGCUAGUAGAACAUUACUGUAGCUGAGCAUCUGCUUCAUCUGACCAUCUGACCAUCAUUGAUCUAGUCACUGUACCUCAGGCGAGCAAUGCGAGCAAUAGGGGCGGCAGGUAGCCUAGUGGUUAGCGUGUAGGGGCGGCAUGUAGCCUAGUGGUUAGCGUGUAGGGGCGGCAGGUAGCCUAGUGGUUAGCGUGUAGGGGCGGCAGGUAGCCUAGUGGUUAGCGUGUAGGGGCGGCAGGUAGCCUAGUGGUUAGCGUGUAGAGGCAGCAGGUAGUCUAGUGGUUAGCGUGUAGGGGCGGUAGGUAGCCUAGUGGUUAGCGUGUAGGGGCGGCAUGUAGCCUAGUGGUUAGCGUGUAGGGGCGGCAGGUAGCCUAGUGGUUAGCGUGUAGGGGCGGCAGGUAGCCUAGUGGUUAGCGUGUAGAGGCAGCAGGUAGUCUAGUGGUUAGAGUGUAGAGGCAGCAGGUAGCCUAGUGGUUAGAGUGUAGAGGCGGCAGGUAGCCUAGUGGUUAGAGUGUAGAGGAGGCAGGUAGACUAGUGGUUAGAGUGUAGAGGAGGCAGGUAGCCUAGUGGUUAGAGUGUAGAGGCAGCAGGUAGCCUAGUGGUUAGAGUGUAGAGGCGGCAGGUAGCCUAGUGGUUAGAGUGUAGAGGCGGCAGGUAGCCUAGUGGUUAGAGUGUAGAGGUGGCAGGUAGCCUAGUGGUUAGAGUGUAGAGGUGGCAGGUAGCCUAGUGGUUAGAGUGUAGAGGUGGCAGGUAGCCUAGUGGUUAGAGUGUAGAGGCGGCAGGUAGCCUAGUGGUUAGAGUGUAGGGAGGCAGAUAGCCUAGUGGUUAGAGUGUAGAGGCGGCAGGUAGCCUAGUGGUUAGAGUGUAGGGAGGCAGGUAGCCUAGUGGUUAGAGUGUAGAGGCGGCAGGUAGCCUAGUGGUUAGAGUGUAGGGGCGGCAGAUAGCCUAGUGGUUAGAGUGUAGAGGAGGCAGGUAGACUAGUGGUUAGAGUGUAGAGGCGGCAGGUAGCCUAGUGGUUAGAGUGUAGAGGCAGCAGGUAGCCUAGUGGUUAGAGUGUAGAGGCGGCAGGUAGCCUAGUGGUUAGAGUGUAGAGGAGGCAGGUAGACUAGUGGUUAGAGUGUAGAGGCGGCAGGUAGCCUAGUGGUUAGAGUGUAGAGGCAGCAGGUAGCCUAGUGGUUAGAGUGUAGAGGCGGCAGGUAGCCUAGUGGUUAGAGUGUAGAGGUGGCAGGUAGCCUAGUGGUUAGAGUGUAGAGGUGGCAGGUAGCCUAGUGGUUAGAGUGUAGAGGUGGCAGGUAGCCUAGUGGUUAGAGUGUAGAGGCGGCAGGUAGCCUAGUGGUUAGAGUGUAGAGGCGGCAGGUAGCCUAGUGGUUAGAGUGUAGAGGUGGCAGGUAGCCUAGUGGUUAGAGUGUAGAGGUGGCAGGUAGCCUAGUGGUUAGAGUGUAGAGGUGGCAGGUAGCCUAGUGGUUAGAGUGUAGAGGCGGCAGGUAGCCUAGUGGUUAGAGUGUAGAGGCGGCAGGUAGCCUAGUGGUUAGAGUGUAGAGGUGGCAGGUAGCCUAGUGGUUAGAGUGUAGAGGAGGCAGGUAGACUAGUGGUUAGAGUGUAGAGGCGGCAGGUAGCCUAGUGGUUAGAGUGUAGAGGCGGCAGGUAGCCUAGUGGUUAGAGUGUAGAGGAGGCAGGUAGCCUAGUGGUUAGAGUGUAGAGGAGGCAGGUAGACUAGUGGUUAGAGUGUAGAGGCGGCAGGUAGCCUAGUGGUUAGAGUGUAGAGGCAGCAGGUAGCCUAGUGGUUAGAGUGUAGAGGCGGCAGGUAGCCUAGUGGUUAGAGUGUAGAGGCGGCAGGUAGCCUAGUGGUUAGAGUGUAGAGGUGGCAGGUAGCCUAGUGGUUAGAGUGUAGAGGUGGCAGGUAGCCUAGUGGUUAGAGUGUAGAGGCGGCAGGUAGCCUAGUGGUUAGAGUGUAGGGAGGCAGAUAGCCUAGUGGUUAGAGUGUAGAGGCGGCAGGUAGCCUAGUGGUUAGAGUGUAGGGAGGCAGGUAGCCUAGUGGUUAGAGUGUAGAGGCGGCAGGUAGCCUAGUGGUUAGAGUGUAGGGGCGGCAGAUAGCCUAGUGGUUAGAGUGUAGAGGGGGCAGGUAGCCUAGUGGUUAGAGUGUAGGGAGGCAGAUAGCCUAGUGGUUAGAGUGUAGAGGUGGCAGGUAGCCUAGUGGUUAGAGUGUAGGGAGGCAGAUAGCCUAGUGGUUAGAGUGUAGGGAGGCAGAUAGCCUAGUGGUUAGAGUGUAGGGAGGCAGAUAGCCUAGUGGUUAGUGCGUUGGGAGGCAGAUAGCCUAGUGGUUAGAGUGUAGGGAGGCAGAUAGCCUAGUGGUUAGUGCGUUGGGAGGCAGAUAGCCUAGUGGUUAGUGCGUUGGGACUAGUAACCGAAAGGUUGCAAGAUAG